rnacentral:rRNA from 1 species
UAUGUGAUCGUCUCUCGCAUAUCAAUAAGGGAGGAAAAGAAACUAACAAGGAUUCCCCUAGUAACGGCGAGUGAAGCGGGAAGAGCUCAAAUUUGAAAUCUUAAAGGGUUUCCCUUUACGAAUUGUAGUUUAAAGAAGUGUUUUCUGUUGAGGUUUUGGUAAAAGUUCUUUGGAAUAGGACAUCAUAGAGGGUGAGAAUCCCGUAUUUGACCUUUACUUUCAACUUUGUGAUACACUUUCAAAGAGUCGGAUUGUUUGGGAAUGCAGUCCAAAAUGGGUGGUAAAUUUCAUCUAAAGCUAAAUAUUGGCGAGAGACCGAUAAGCGAACAAGUACCGUGAGGGAAAGAUGAAAAGAACUUUGAAAAGAGAGAGUUAAACAGUACGUGAAAUUGUCAAAAGGGAAGCGUUUGACACCAGUGUUGUUUUUCUGAAAAUCAAUUAAAGAACUGUUUAUGCUAAGCUGUUUAGACUUUAUCAGCUAACUGUUUAGUUUUGAGCUUUUCUUUAAUGCACUUUUCAGUUAACAAGUCAACAUCAAUUUCUUUUGCUGUAAAAAAGCUUGAGGAAGGUGGCUUGAGAUUCGUCUUAAGUGUUUAUAGCCUCUUGCCUAUGCAGUCGGAGAGAUUGAGGUCUGCAGCGUAGAUCCUUCGGGGCUAAAUGCAUUUGUGCUAAGUUAUAGCAUUUUAUAGACAACUUGUUGACUAUGAUUUGUCUUGUAGCUUACUCGCUUAUGUUAUUUUACCUACGCUUAGGAUGUUGAAGACUCUACAGAGAUA